rnacentral:lncRNA from 1 species
AAGAAGUCAGGCCAGAUUAAGCCAUAGUACGGAAAGAGCUAUGCUGCCUGUGAGCCCCGUCCAAGGACGUAAAAUGAAGUCAGGCCGAAAGCCACGGAUUGAGCAAGCCGUGCUGCCUGUGGCUCCAUCGUGGGGAUGUAAAAACCCGGGAGGCUGCAACCCAUGGAAGCUGUACGCAUGGGGUAGCAGACUAGUGGUUAGAGGAGACCCCUCCCUAGACAUAACGCAGCAGCGGGGCCCAACACCAGGGGAAGCUGUACCUUGGUGGUAAGGACUAGWGGUUAGAGGAGACCCCCCGCACAACAACAAACAGCAUAUUGACGCUGGGAA